rnacentral:rRNA from 1 species
UAACUUAGUGGCGGACGGGUGAGUAACGCGUGAGAAUCUGCCUUCAGGACGGAGACAACAGUUGGAAACGACUGCUAAGCCCCGAUGAACCGAAAGGGAAAAUAUUUAUAGCCUGAAGAUGAGCUCGCGUCCGAUUAGCUAGUUGGCGGAGUAAAAGCCCACCAAGGCGACGAUCGGUAGCUGGUCUGAGAGGACGAUCAGCCACACUGGGACUGAGACACGGCCCAA